UAAAGAUAUCCUUCAUUGCAAAUGGUGAGGUCAUUAGGAGCUCAUUAGGAGGUGGUCUUAAUUGACCCGGAGAGCUGAUGAGAAGAGGCUGCCUUUGGCUGCCUGGUGCUGCCAUUUCUGAGCAGAAGAAGCUGCCUAAGGAUUCUGUUCUUGAGUGUUCUCUUUUCAAGGCCUGUCUGCCUCUCAAUCAGUCGGCACCAGAGCUUGAGAAAUAUGCCUGUUCAGUGUCUUUUUAAGGCAGCAGCCUCUUAAAAUGGUGCUGUGAGAUGAUGCUUAGUUGUUUCAGGCUUCUGUUCACUGUUGGUACGUUCAGACGUGAGCAGCCUUCCCUAGGGUGGGAGGGUGGAGUUUGUGUCUCAGCCAGGUGGCCACCUGCUAAGAACAGCCAGGCCCCAGGAGGAUGUCAAACUAUUCCACGCUUCUGCUGCUGUCGUUAGAAACCAUUUGGGAAUGCUGAUUUGGCCAGGAAGGGUCCCUUUAGGGGAUGUCACUGAGUUACCAUCCAGAACAAUUGCUGAACUGGGACUGGGGAGCCUGCCUAACUCCACGUGGUCCUCUGCAAGUGACCAGUUCAGAUCUGUCUUAAUAGAGGGUGAAUAAUUGUGGGGAGGGGGAUGCUGAAGCAAAGGAAGAGUUGAGGGAAGGAAGCAGACAGGUUGCACAGAGAAAGAGUGCUCAGUAAUGCUGCUGGCCCUGUGCACACACACCCCCUUUGUCUUUUGCCGUGGACAACAGCCCUUCACAGGAGAGGAGACCCCCCCCCCAGGGUUUCAAAAGCCAGCCUAGGUCCCAUAGGGGUCCAUGGAGGGAGCUGUCAGUCUUUAGCCAUCUGGGACCAGGCUGAAAUGGGCUUUGCGUUUCCAUUCUUCUCAAACGCCUCCUGCAUGUGACAACCAGGCUUUCCAAAGCCUGAUACUCCUUUAUACCUCCAGCCCGCUCUGCUGCCUCUUAGCAGCCCCAGGUAAUCCCUUCAACCUGAACCAUUGGUCUGAUGUUGGUGUAUAGAAGCCUGUGGGCAUGCAGUGUGUGGGUUCCCAAUCUGGCUAACCACUGUGGGGAAAGAGUAAGGGACAAGAUGGUUCUUUGGGUAUGAUCACUGGGGCUUUUCUCUUAAAAUGUCCAUCAUUCUCUUCAUGGAAACUCCGAAAUGGCAGUUCUGCACUUCCUUCCAAGAUGCAGUCAGUGUGCACACUGUGGCUUCCUUGCUCCUGAUGCAUUUGGUGUGCUUUUUCUUCAGGGUGUUUUCUUCCUUGGUACCUGGGCUCUUCAGUGUUGCAGGGCAUCCUAGGACCCCCUGCCUCUCCUUGGCUUUGUAAACAUACCACUUCCUGUGCUCUGUGGCAAGAAAGGGGCAAGAAAGGAAGAAUGCCAAGUGAGAUAAUAGGUUAUUGUCAGUAUUACUACUGUUAUUCAUUAACUGUCCUCCUCCCUAAGGUCCCAGGGCAGGUUACAACAUUGAAAAACAGCAUCGAAAACAGUUUAAAACAAUUUAGAAUCACAGAACUAAGAGGGAUCCUAAAGAUACACAUCUCAGGUGCCAAAGGCCAGGGUUUCGGCAUUUCCCCAAGGCUGUAUAGUGCAGGUCCCACAACUCAGGGGUUGCAACAGAGAAGGCCCUCUCCAGCCCCACACCCCCACCCUGCAAUCCUGAGGGAGCUACCAAAAGGGCCCCCUCUGCUGAUCUUAACAUCUGGGUGGGCCUCUAGGGAAAAUAGCACUCCACAUCUUGUUUGUGCCAUUGAGUCAGUUCUGGGGACAAGAAAGGUGGGCCUCCAAACACAGGAGGUGAGGUUGAGCUUUAAGCAGCCAGCUUCAAGAGGCAGCUGUCUCCUGGGUUGGGGGUGAUUCAGUCACCACCCAGCCUUCCCUGCUUUGUAUUCCUCUGGCUAACCACUGCUCUGUUCCCCUUGGUUGUCGUAGCUUUGUGCCAGAGUCCCCUUCCUCAGAAAGCAACAUGGCUUCAGCCCGGAAACAGCCCCCCAGCAGCCGGUUCUCGUCCUUCUCCUCUCAAACAGAUCCUGCCUCUGCAACCGACCAGCACGAUUCCUCCAGGGACCACAGGAGCACCAGUCUGGACCGCUUCAGCACAGAUGUAGAAUCUGCAGACGGGGCUAAGGCCCCUGCAUUAGCAGGGGACGGCCCAGACUUCUCCUUCCUGGAGCAAACUCCUGUGCUGGACUCCAGUGUCUUGAAAACCCGCGUGCAGCUCAGCAAAAGGAGGCGCCAGCACCGAGCCCCAAUUUCCCACUCGCUCAGAAGAAGCACCGGGGGAGACACUGAGCAGCGGCUCUCUGUGACAGAAGAGGCAGACAGCACGUGGUUGUUCAAGGGCUCCACAGCAGAAAACUCAGCCAAGAAAGAAGACUCUGGUGAGGACGGAAACCCACAGCCAACAGAGAGGUCGCCCAUCUCUCAGCUGCAGAGGCUCCCUGUCUUUCCAGGGAUGGACCACUCAGCCCUCAAGGCUCAACUCAGGAAAAGACAUGAACCAGAUGGAACAGGAGAAGUGCAGUUUUCCAAGUCACCAAAAUUCCCAUUUCAGGCUGGAGUUCCUGCUGGCAGAGUUCUGCCUGUUGGCACGGAGAAAGAAGAGAGGUCGGAGGAGCUGUCUCCACGUUGGCUGAAGGAGCUGAAGUCCAAGAAGAGGCAGAGCCAAUACGAGAACCAAGUGUGACGACCGAGGUCUGGAGGUGGCGGCAGUGGCGGUGAUGGGACGACCUGCUCCUCCAGGCAACAUCCCUUCAACAGGCUCAUCUCCAUUUGCAGAUCACCCUCAAUCUCACAGCUUCUUGAUCAACUACAAAAAAAGUUGCUUGGCUCCAUCACAAAGGAUCAUUCACUUAGGCACCCGGCUAGAUACAGUUCAAAUCUUGUGACUCUUCACCAGAGCAGAUCAGCAAAAUCUCCACAGCGGCAACUUCAAUCUUAAAGACAAAAAAGAUGGCAGCCAAACAACUGUCAACAAUUCUAGGUCUCUGCAUGUGAGCCUCUCAGAUUACACCUUGAGCGAAGCACCACACAAGAACCCUGCAGUGGUUUUUACUUCUGCAUCAAUGAGAGAUCAUUCAAAAUUGACCCAGGUCUUUGCUCUUAUCUCCUCAACUCAAACUGCCCAUGCUGCGCAAACCUCCAGUCUUUGGAAAGGCACUCCAUUCAGAAAUCCCUGCAGCACUCAGGUGGAAGUCUGGAUGACUUGGAAGACAGAAGAAGCCUUAACUUGCUCACGCCCCUCUCCCCUGCUGCUGCUGCUGCUGCUGCUGCUUCCCGCCCUGACUGCUGUGUGCGCAGUGCCUUUCCAUCUGGUGUGAAGAAUGUCCAUGGUGGGCCUGAUGCGGAAGGAUGUCCAACUCCUCAGGAUCCAUUCCGCCCCUCUGCAGCUGUGGCUGUUAUGGUCUCCUAGUUGUGCUGCAGAGCUGCCCCCCCACUCCAGCUGCCGGGGGGGGGGCGGUGCUGUGCCUGACACACUGGCCUUCUGGCUGGGGAAUUGGGCAUACCAACCUGCUCUUUGUUGGCUUAUGAACAAAGAGAGGAUGUUGUAGCGGAUGAACUUAUAGGCUGGUCUCUUGCAAAAAGACUUGUUGCUGUCUGAGGAUGGGAAAUGGAAAGAGGAAGAAACAGAUUAUGUUUACUGCCAUAUUGAAAGAGGAAACUUGACUGAUUAUUUUUAAAGAAAAUUUUGAUUGGCUGGUAUUAACUUUGUGGAUCAUCUGUUCCGCCAAGACAAUGUGAUAUAUACUCUUUCUUUUUUAGGAUCAAAGGAGAUUUUAUUGUUUAAGUGAGAUUUUAUGUGUGUGUGUUUUGUCAGCACACAGAGUAAUGAGCAUCCCAUUUCUAGAGGGAUAAAGCAAUAACAUCAGACAGUCCUCAUUAAAAUAGUUGUAAAUAAUCUGAGGGGUGGUUCCCCACCCCUCACUAUUUACUGAAAAAAGAAGGGAAGUCUCACCUUGCCAGUAUCAGGGCUGCGUAGGAACCCUGCUGGGUUCUCUUGCUGGAAGUUUAAGUUUUUUCUUUCUGUAAAUAAAGGGGUAAAUAAAUAGUUUAUAUUCCUCUGAUUAUUUCAAAAGUUCAGUUGCAGAAGUGUGUACCUAUUUUUCCACAAAUGUUAAACUUGGAUGAUAUCAGUGAAGGAGCUUAGGGUCCCUGCCUGUGGUCUCCAAGCGUUCUUGAAGACAGACUCUAAGAAGCCUUUUUACCUUGUCACAAUCUGUCAAAAGAAAUCCAGGGUCGGUCAUUCUUGUGAAUGUAUGGGGGGGCAGGUGAAUUAUGACCCUGCAAAGCACCUUCCUUCCUCUUUGGUCUUUUCCAUUGCUGAGUCUCUGCUUUUGCCAUCUAGGAAGCCUCUUUACCUGAACAAGUUCCCAUGAAGGAUCUGCAAGAUUCUUUCUUCCAUAGUGAGGUUUCUCUGUUGUUGUUUCCUUACCCAAAGCCCCCAUGUUUGGGAUUCCUUCUUUGGAUGUUAAGAAAAUAGCAUUACCCCUAAGUGCUCUUCCCAGAAAUGUUCUAUUUUCAGAAAAUUAAAGUUUAUAUUGUCACAGAAUUAGACAGAUUUCUAUUGCACUGCACAGAUGUCCUCCAUGGACAUGCACACACGGUCUGUGGUGGGCAGAAGAUUUCACUGCUGAGCAGUGUCUCACAAGUUCACAGCCCUGUUGGGAGUACAAAAAUGCAUCUGCACUGGCCCUUAGGAAUGGGAAGGGGACGUGUCCCACUGAUCUAGGCCUAACCCUGAAGAUGAGCAUCCCCAAUUUGCCCUUGUGGGCUUUCAGACAUUCAUAACCUUUGUGCCAAUUCCUCACGCAAUUGGCUUUUUCUGCUCUUCCCUGCCCUGCCCCACGUGGGUUUUGCAGUCUUCGGCCUAUGCCCAAGCCCCAUGCAAAUGGUGCUGUCUCCCAAUCAGCCCCUCCCUUUCAGGAGACCAUUCCUCAGCUAAGUGGCUGUGCCUGGGAUGGAGCACCUUCUUCCUUGGGAAGAGGCAGAAUAACCUUUGUACGUCCCCUGGGGAUCUGCCCCUAUUAAACCAGACACCUCCCAUGGGUUCCUCUCAGAGCAGAAAUAGCAGUAAUAUUUUGCCAUAGGAAAACAUAAUAUAUUCUGCUCUGAGCACCACUGAGGAUGUAUCCUGGGGUCCUCAGUGCUGCUUAGCAGCAUCCUCACCCCACUCCCAGCCCACAGGGUAGACCCAGUUGGCAUGGUUUGGGAAGGGUGUGGGUAUAUCCAGGGGAUUAGAGAGAUGCUGUCACAAUGCCCCUCCUUUUCAAGUAGAUGUGGGUAUAGAUUUCCCCCCAGACCUUGCCACUUCCUAAGACUCGGGAUAUUUUGGUUUGGCCCUAGUCUGUUUGUUUUGUUUGCUAGGUGGGUUGGCUGUGCUGUAGUGGCAAACGUGAUUAGCACCAAAAUGCCCCUGAAGGUGCUGACAAUCUUCCCAUUUGCUUCGCUUAAAAAAAAAAUCAGUUGCUUUUGUCCUGGUGUUCUCAUUUGGUUUGAUUUCCACCUGUUGACUCUAAUGUGUGCUAGAAGCCUUUCCUUAAAUUGCACUGAGUAUGCACACAGACACACACACAUCCUACAGACUCCUUCCCAGCCUAGCAGAAACCUUUUGCUGGGAUGUGAGGGCCUGCAGCAAAGUUUGGGGCAUCCACAGCAUCUCUUUCAUGUUGGGGGGGGCAGGGGGUUUGUUGGAAUGUAUGCAAUGCCUGGAUUCCCCGGGGAGCUGGCCCUGCACAAAGGAGCGGGAUUAAGGUGGCAUCAGGGCAAAUCCCUCUGAAUCUGUACACACACGGGUUCUCUUUUGUGCUUGUGCAAGGCACUGAAAUUCUGUAUUUUAGUAGUUUUACUACUAAGAAAUGUUUGGACAACUAUAUCUGAUUAAAAACAGCAUUCAGAAUGA